UCCAGGUGUUCAGAGGCUCCACUUUCAGCAUCAGUUGCUCCAUCCAGCCUCAGUACCCAGGAGGCUCCUUCCAGCUCAACUUCACCUCCAUCAACUCAGCAAACAACUACUACUCAGAGCCAGCUGUCAAUCACUCUGCCCACUUCCUGUUCCCGGCUGCAGAGCCCGCCCACCAGGGAAACUACAGCUGUAUUUAUCACGUCUCUGCUUUUUCUCAGGACUUCUCCUCUGAGAGCCGUCUGCUCUCCGUCACCGUCACAGGCCACCAGGGGGCGGAGGCCGAGCCGACAGGAGGACAUUGAGCUGGAUUACCUGGGUGUUCCUGCUGAAGAGGAAGGAGCUCAGGGAGCAGAGUAGCAGCUCCAAGGAGCUCCUCUCACACACAUGGGUUUAUCAGCUCUUAUAGCUUUUAACCAACGUUAGAAAAUAUAGCUUUCACUCUGAAAGUCACCAGCAAUGUGUUAGUGCCUCAUGUUUCCUGACUUCCUGUCAGCUCCAAGCCCAUUGGUUCCCACUGAAGAUGAAGAUCUUUAAAAAACAUCACAAGUUAGUUUUAUUUAGAAAAGUCAAUGCAGUCGGUGCAGUUUGAAACCACAGACACACCAACCCAGGCCGCUCAGGAACUAAGUUGGCUAAUGAAUGCCAUAUAUUAAUGUUCAAAUAUCCUCUAAAAACAGUGUUACAAUACCCAGUGUUUGAAUCUAAUGUAGUGAUUCCUGAGAUAACAGGAGGAACGCGUUACAGCGCCACCUAGUGUUGGAUUUGUAGACCUCGAGCACAACAACGUUUUUUUAUAUUUUUAUAUCAACAAAUAAGAAAAAGUGCAGUUUAUAAAAUGUUACGUUUUUCACAACAAUUCAUUGAUCAGCGAGAUGGGAUAUUUGAUCCCCUUGUGGGUCACAUGGGUUAUUUUAGCAGCAGGACCAGAUUUAGCUGAACAAUAUACAAAUAGGAAUUGAACAGAAGUAAAUAAUCCAUACACUUCUUAUUUCAUAACAAUGCUGAUUUUAUAUUGAAAAAUGUUAUUUCAGAAGAAUUCAGCUUGAUUUUGGUCUGAAGAGAUUGUUUGUAAAAAAAGAGAAAUCCAAUUUUUUUUUAGAGAAAUCCGAUUAUAUUUGUAAUUUGCCAAAAUGUAUAAGAUUUUAACUUUUCUUUAAUUUUCUUAUUUCACGUGUACUGAGCUCAGUUUUGUAAUCAUUUUCAAUCAUUCAGUAUUUUUCUUACUUUAUAAGAAUUUUAAUUACAUUUUUGAUGGUAUUUGUCUGUAUUUUGUAGUAAUUUAGCUGUGUUUAAGAACUCCACCUAUUGGAGAGCAUUCCCAAAUUCAUAAGAUAUUAAAUACUAACAUGUUGUAAUUAAAAAUGUACAUAAUUUUGUAGAAGUUUCCUUUUUAAUAGGUAAUGUGCUUUGUUAUGUGAUCAAGAAAUGUGCUUGUUUUUGUAUUAUUGAGGAUUGUACUUAUUUCACAAGAUGAUCAAUAAUAUGUAAUCAUUACUUUUUGGACUUUUAUGAAACAUUUUAAUUUCUUUAGAAUUUCACUUUUUUCAAAGAACUCAGAUUAUUUUUGUGAUUUAGGAUUUUCCCAAAUUCAGGAGACUAAUUAUAUGGUACUUAAAAUGUUAACAUUGUCCGUAAACAAGUGUUGUGAUUUUGGAACCGAGAAAUGUUUUUGCUUCAUAAGAAUUUUGAUUGAUUUUGAUUUUGUUGAGACUUGGUAUUUUUUAUAAGAAUUUUGUUUUCGAUUUUAGAAAAAUAUUGACCAUUAUUUCGUAAUUUUCUUGAUUUUGUUAUGAAGAAUGUUGCUUUUUUUAACACAUUUUUUUGUUGAAGAUUUUUCUUGAUUUCUUGAUGAUUUUUGCAUCACAAAUUCUACUUGAAAAAAUUAAGAGUUUUGACCAAUUUGGUUUCCAUGAGAUUACGAUGAAGCAAAUCGUCUUAAAUUCUGAACACAGCAGAAUCCUCCAGAAAUCAUGACGAUGUUCAACAUCGUCAUGCUGUAAAGCAUGCGUAAAUGCUGUCAUUUGCUAUGUACCAAAAAAAUAAUAAAACUUCUUUAAUAAUC